rnacentral:tRNA from 1 species
AUUUAUAUAGUUUAACAAAACAUUACAUUUUCACUGUAAAAUUAAUAUAUUUAUUUAUAAAUU